rnacentral:rRNA from 1 species
CUAGUCUUGACAUCCACGGAAUUCUCUAGAGAUAGCUUAGUGCCUUCGGGAACCCUGAGACAGGUGCUGCAUGGCUGUCGUCAGCUCGUGUUGUGAAAUGUUGGGUUAAGUCCCGCAACGAGCGCAACCCCUUAUCCUUAUUUGCCAGCACGUAAUGGGGGGAACUCUAGGGAGACUGCCGGUGAUAAACCGGAGGAAGGGGGGGACGACGUCAAGUCAUCAUGGCCCUUACGAGGAGGGCUACACACGUGCUACAAUGGGGAGUACAGAGGGUUGCAAACCCGCGAGGGGAAGCUAAUCUCAAAAAGCUCGUCGUAUUCCGGAUUGGAGUCUGCAACUCGACUCCAUGAAGUCGGAAUCGCUAGUAAUCGGGGAUCACAAUGCCGCGGGGAAUA